rnacentral:rRNA from 1 species
UUACGCUGUUAUCCCUAAGGUAAUUUAUUUUAAAAUUCUAAAUUUUAGGUUUAUAAUUACAUUAAUUAAUGGAUUUAUGUUUAAAAGUUUAUUUAAUUUUAAAAUUACCCCAAUUAAAUAUAUAAAUUUAUUUAUAAUUUUAUUAAAUUAAAUAUUAAUUAAUUUAUAUAUUAAAUUCUAAAGGGUCUUCUCGUCUUUUAAUUAAAUUUAAGAAUUUUAACUUAAAAUUUAAUUUAAAUUUUUAUUUUUAUUUAUAUAGUUUAUGUUUCAUUAAAUCUUUCAUACUAGAUUUCAAUUAUAAAACUAAUUAUUAUGCUACCUUUGUACAGUUAUUUAUACUGCAGCCUUUUAAAUUUAUCAAUGGGCAGAUUUGACUUAAUAUUGUUUUCAAUAAGACAUGUUUUUGUUAAACAGGCG